rnacentral:rRNA from 1 species
GACGAACGCUGGCGGCGUGCCUAAUACAUGCAAGUCGAACGCAGUGGGGACGGGUGAGUAACACGUGGGUAACCUCCCAUCAGAGGGGAUAUCACUUGGAAACAGGUGCUAAACCGAUACUGAUGGAUGGACCCGCGGUGCAUUAGCCAGUUGGUGAGGUAACGGCUCACCAAGGCCACGAUGCAUAGGCGGCCCGGAGGGGUGAUCGGCCCCACUGGGAAUGGGACAAGGGCCAGACCCCUACGGGAGGCAACAGUAGGGAAUCUUCGGCAAUGGGGGGAACCCUUGCCGAGCAACGGCGCGUGAGUUAAGAAGGUUUUCGGAUCGUAAAGCUCUGUUGUUAAGGAAGCGGUACUUAACCAGAAAGGGACGGCUAACUACGUGCCAGCCGCCGCGGUAAUAC